AUGAUGACGACGCCGAGGAGGACGAGGACCCGAGCUCUAGCCCGACCGGCGUGGUCCCUGCUGCUGCCUGCAGAUAUGCGCCAUAUGGGAGAUCCUUCUCGCCGGACUUCGGGAGGAGGCGCUCCCUUGGCGACGGGGUUGAGAGCUGGCGUGGGUUUUGUCAGACCAUUCGUCCUACCCAGAUGGGAUCCUCGCUCAAUAUCGGCAUUUAUCAUGUAUGCAGCACGCGAGGAUGAUGACGACGCCGAGGAGUAUGAGGACCUGAGCUCGAGCCUGACCUUGAUGGCACACAUCACAUGGUCCCUACUGUCCGCCGGUAAUUACUCCCUCCAGGUUUCGCAGCAUUCUCAGGAGGAGAACUGGUGGGUGUUUUUUGACUUUAACGUUGGGAAAGCAGUUCGGAGGGGCAAGUUCGGGCAUGUUUACUUGGCUAGAGAAAAGAGGAAUGUUGACAGGUUCAAUUUUAUCUCAUGA
rnacentral:rRNA from 1 species